UGCCCAGAAGCGGGGGAUAACACCUGGAAACAGAUGCUAAUACCGCAUAACAACUUGGACCGCAUGGUCCGAGCUUGAAAGAUGGCUUCGGCUAUCACUUUUGGAUGGUCCCGCGGCGUAUUAGCUAGAUGGUGGGGUAACGGCUCACCAUGGCAAUGAUACGUAGCCGACCUGAGAGGGUAAUCGGCCACAUUGGGACUGAGACACGGCCCAAACUCCUACGGGAGGCAGCAGUAGGGAAUCUUCCACAAUGGACGAAAGUCUGAUGGAGCAACGCCGCGUGAGUGAAGAAGGGUUUCGGCUCGUAAAACUCUGUUGUUAAAGAAGAACAUAUCUGAGAGUAACUGUUCAGGUAUUGACGGUAUUUAACCAGAAAGCCACGGCUAACUACGUGCCAGCAGCCGCGGUAAUACGUAGGUGGCAAGCGUUGUCCGGAUUUAUUGGGCGUAAAGCGAGCGCAGGCGGUUUUUUAAGUCUGAUGUGAAAGCCUUCGGCUCAACCGAAGAAGUGCAUCGGAAACUGGGAAACUUGAGUGCAGAAGAGGACAGUGGAACUCCAUGUGUAGCGGUGAAAUGCGUAGAUAUAUGGAAGAACACCAGUGGCGAAGGCGGCUGUCUGGUCUGUAACUGACGCUGAGGCUCGAAAGUAUGGGUAGCAAACAGGAUUAGAUACCCUGGUAGUCCAUACCGUAAACGAUGAAUGCUAAGUGUUGGAGGGUUUCCGCCCUUCAGUGCUGCAGCUAACGCAUUAAGCAUUCCGCCUGGGGAGUACGGCCGCAAGGCUGAAACUCAAAGGAAUUGACGGGGGCCCGCACAAGCGGUGGAGCAUGUGGUUUAAUUCGAAGCUACGCGAAGAACCUUACCAGGUCUUGACAUACUAUGCAAAUCUAAGAGAUUAGACGUUCCCUUCGGGGACAUGGAUACAGGUGGUGCAUGGUUGUCGUCAGCUCGUGUCGUGAGAUGUUGGGUUAAGUCCCGCAACGAGCGCAACCCUUAUUAUCAGUUGCCAGCAUUAAGUUGGGCACUCUGGUGAGACUGCCGGUGACAAACCGGAGGAAGGUGGGGAUGACGUCAAAUCAUCAUGCCCCUUAUGACCUGGGCUACACACGUGCUACAAUGGAUGGUACAACGAGUUGCGAACUCGCGAGAGUAAGCUAAUCUCUUAAAGCCAUUCUCAGUUCGGAUUGUAGGCUGCAACUCGCCUACAUGAAGUCGGAAUCGCUAGUAAUCGCGGAUCAGCAUGCCGCGGUGAAUACGUUCCCGGGCCUUGUACACACCGCCCGUCACACCAUGAGAGUUUGUAACACCCAAAGUCGGUGGGGUAACCUUUUAGGAACCAGCCGCCUAAGGUGGGACAGAUGAUUAGGGUGAAGUCGUA
rnacentral:rRNA from 1 species